rnacentral:rRNA from 1 species
UAAAUACUCCCGAGAGACCGAUAGCGAACCAGUACCGUGAGGGAAAGGUGAAAAGAACCCCGAGCAGGGGAGUGAAAUAGACCCUGAACCCGUCUGCCUACAAGCGGUCGGAGCAUAGCAAUAUGUGACGGCGUGCCUUUUGCAUAAUGAACCUACGAGUUACCUUCCCCGGCAAGGUUAAGUACCUAAGGUACGGAGCCGAAGCGAAAGCGAGUCUGAAGAGGGCGGCCAGUCGGGGGGGGUAGACGCGAAACCGAGUGAUCUACCCUUGGCCAGGUUGAAGGUUGGGUAACACCAACUGGAGGACCGGAUGGGUAAGCGUUGAAAAGCUUUCCAAUGAGCUGAGGGUAGGGGUGAAAGGCUAAUCAAACUCGGAGAUAGCUCGUACUCCCCGAAAUGCAUUUAGGUGCAGCCUCUUUAUAGUAUAUCGUGAGGUAGAGCGACUGAUUGGAUGCGAGGGCUUCACCGCCUAUCAAGUCCAGAUAAACUCCGAAUGCGCGAUAUAUAUUUAAAGGGAGUGAGGGCGCGGGUGCUAAGGUCCGUGUCCGAGAGGAGAAGAAUCCAGACCACCGGCUAAGGCCCCCAAAUGAUCGUUGAGUUGAACUAACGAGGUCGGAUCGCAGAGACAGCUAGGAUGUUGGCUUGGAAGCAGCCAUUCAUUUAAAGAGUGCGUAACAGCUCACUAGUCGAGCGAUCUGGCGUGGAUAAUAAUCGGGCAUAAACGAUCUGCCGAAGCCGUGGAUGUCGUAAGACAUGGUAGGGGAGCAUUCCAUGCGGCGUCGAAGAUGAGGGAUGACCCUUGUUGGAGCGCAUGGAAAAGCAAAUGUAGGUAUGAGUAACGAUAAGGGGGGCGAGAAACCCCCCCGCCGAAAGACCAAGGUUUCCUGAUCAACGCUAAUCGGAUCAGGGUGAGUCGGGACCUAAGGCAAAGCCGAACGGCGCCGCCGAUGGAAGAAUGGGUUAAUAUUCCCAUACUGCCUCAUGGAGUGACGUGGAGACGGAGAAGUGACAGUCCUGCCGGCUGACGGAAUAGCCGGUUGAAGGGUGUAGAUAUUGAUUCCCGUAGGCAAAUCCGCGGGGAGAGUCGAACCUGACAGUAUACCGAGUACUUGUACGAGGUAAUAUGGACGUAACCAUGCUCCCAAGAAAAUCCGCUAAACUUAUCCAUGCGGCACCCGUACCGUAAACGGACACACGUGGUCGGGUUGAGAAUACUGAGGCGCUCGAGUGACUCACGGUUAAGGAACUAGGCAAAUUGACCCUGUAACUUCGGGAUAAAGGGUCCUCGUCGUAAGGCGAGGCGCAGAGAAUAGGUCCAGGCAACUGUUUAACAAAAACACAUGGCUGUGCUAAAUGGAAACAUGACGUAUACAGCCUGACACCUGCCCGGUGCUGGAAGGUUAAGAGGAGAUGUCAUCGCAAGAGAAGCAUUGAAUUGAAGCCCCAGUAAACGGCGGCCGUAACUAUAACGGUCCUAAGGUAGCGAAAUUCCUUGUCGGGUAAGUUCCGACCUGCACGAAUGGUGUAAUGAUCUGGACGCUGUCUCAACCGUGAGCUCAGUGAAAUUGUAGUAUCGGUGAAGAUGCCGAUUACCCGCGAUGGGACGAAAAGACCCCGUGAACCUUUACUAUAGCUUAACAUUGAAUUUGGGUAAUUGAUGUGUAGGAUAGGCCGGAGGCUUUGAAGCAGGUACGCCAGUAUUUGUGGAGCCGCUGUUGAAAUACGGCCCUUUGGUUAUUUGAGUUCUAACUCGCUGUUGCGAGGACACUGUUUGGUGGGUAGUUUGACUGGGGUGGUCGCCUCCAAAAAUGUAACGGAGGCUUCUAAAGGUGCCCUCACGCCGAUUGGUAACCGGCGGCAGAGUGUAAUGGCAUAAGGGCGCUUGACUGGGAGACUUACAAGUCGAUCAGGUAGGAAACUAGAGCAUAGUGAUCCGGUGUUUCCGUAUGG